AUUGACCGCUGGCGGCAGGCUUAAAACAUGCAAGUCGAGCGGGGGAAGGUAGCUUGCUACCGGACCUAGCGGCGGACGGGUGAGUAAUGCUUAGGAAUCUGCCUAUUAGGGGGGGACAACAUCUCGAAAGGGAUGCUAAUACCGCCUACGUCCUACGGGAGAAAGCAGGGGAUCUUCGGACCUUGCGCUAAUAGAUGAGCUGAAGUCGGAUUAGGUAGUUGGGGGGGUAAAGGCCUACCAAGGCGACGAUCUGUAGCGGGUCUGAGAGGAUGAUCCGCCACACUGGGAACGAGACACGGCCCAGACUCCUACGGGAGGCAGCAGUGGGGAAUAUUGGACAAUGGGGGGAAACCUGAUCCAGCCAUGCCGCGUGUGUGAAGAAGGCCUUAUGGUUGUAAAGCACUUUAAGCGAGGAGGAGGCUACUCUAGUUAAUACCUAGGGAUAGUGGACGUUACUCGCAGAAUAAGCACCGGCUAACUCUGUGCCAGCCGCCGCCGUAA
rnacentral:rRNA from 1 species